AAUUACGUCCAUAUUCGGCCAUACGGGCAAACGGCCAAAAGCGACGUUCUUUUUAAGAGGACAGGUUUCGGCUGUUGAGUCGACGUGCUGGGUGAGGCGAUGAGGAAUCAUUUUUGUCCCCUAGAGAUCGUGUCGUGCGGUUGUGUUGCUGAAGAGCGUUAGUGGUCUGUUCUCAAGUUUGACCCAAUUGUUGUUGAAAGUGUCGAUGGGUCACUGGGUCCCACAGACCCCCUGGGGUACACUGAAUCAGUUUGUACAGUGUCACAACGCGAAUUCAUAGGGGCAAAAAUAUCAAAUAUUUAACAGUGUUGGAGUCGUGAGUGCGGUUUAUGGUGCCUGUGGCUGAGUUGACAGUAAAGUGUGGUGGUGGAGUUACCCAAAAUUGGUGGUAUCAGGCACAAGUUUCAGGUAAUGGGCGACUGGCAGCACACGUGGACCUUGUCAGGCAGUACAAGCUCCUAACACCCAGCGAGAGGUGUCAAGUUGAUGACUAGUGGCAAGAGUUGUGGAAUAAACGGAUUGUCGUUGUACUGAAAAAGCGUGGUGUGGUGUACGUUCGGCGCUGACCUGUUAAGGGGCUGGGUGGGCGGAAGACGUGAAGUUUGUGUUUGGAACAUCACCCACGUCGUCGUCUCGAGUAUGAAUGGACUAGUCAUUGCCGUGCAGGCUGUUAUUGGGAAAGAUAGCGAGUGGUGAGGAGGAAUACUUUACAGGAUGAGCUGAGCUGAGAUCGUAGCAGCAGUUGUGAAGAUUACAUCAGUAAUACUGGGAAGAUGUGGAUAAGGCGACGAGAACCUGAGGUGUAUAGAAAUGGAACGUGGACGUUAUAUAAUUGAUUGUUCUUUCAACAUAGUUGAAAUCAGAGAAGACUUGUGUAGAAAAACGUUAGUAGGCAGAGUAUUGAGAAAUGUAGUUGGAGAUAUAAUUGAAGACAGGAAUGAAGUAAUAUGAAUUGUUUGCAGUUAUGUGAUAAACGUGAAUAGUAAUCGAAAAAAGUAGUUAUAAUGCGUGGUAGGAGAUUGAAUUGAGAUUGAAUUGAAUUUUUUU